CUCUUCCAAACAGCACACUACUCACAACUCAGAGUGCCGGUUGUCCCCCUGUGCAUAGCUGCACCGAAUCUGAACAGCAAUGGCACAAGCCACGGACAGUGCCAGGACCUAUCAACUCUAUGAUCUUCACUAAGCCGGUACCAAAUAGGAUGGCCCAGACUGGAGUACGGAGUGGAUUCUACAGAGGCAUUGUGGGUCCAUUACCAGAUCCCUGACCUGACAAGCCCCUUGUGGAAAGUGCCUUUGGGCUGGUGCAGGAGGGCAGUGUUCUGUCAUGUCAGCAGCCGGUUUUGACAACCCGGUACAUCACACUACACCGUGAUGCACCACCAACACCGCACUUGCCUCUGGAGUAUGGGUAUGACAUGAAGGAAACCCUGCUCGCUCAGACAGCCUGUGAUAUUUUCUCAAACCGCUGCGCUGAACCAGUUUCCAAAGAACAUGCUGUGUGACACAAUAAAUAUCCUUUAACCUGUUAACCUGUGGCUUCUGGAAGAAACUCGGGUGAGUCAGUCACUGCAAACACAUUUGUAUCAUCAAGUGUUUGUCAAAUGAAAAUGAUAUGUUUUUCUACACUUAGGAUAAUUUUCUAUGUUGCAGUGCAGUAAAGUGCACGUUUCUUCUGUGUUCAAUCAUACAUGUUCUAAUUGUUAUAAACAGAAAAAAUCUUUUCUUACUUAACUGCUUGAUUCUUAACUUGUUUAACUGAAACAUGAUGAAAUGUCAUAGUAUUAUUUUUUUUUUUAAAUGUCCUUGGCAGUGCAUGUGU